ensembl:lncRNA
GUGUGAAGUGGGGUUCCUUCACGCGGAAAACGCGGAAUUUUUGGGUGAAAGGUGGUAUGUUCAGGGAGAAAAUGUGCGAUUUUCCUUUGAAACGUAGAAUUUUCGGGAAAAAAUGCGUGGUUCUUGGGAGAAAUGGGGUUGCUUCGCGCAGAAAAUGCGUGAUUUUGGGGGGAAAGGUGGUAUUUUCGGGAAGAAAAUGCGUGAUUUUGGGGUGAAAGGCGGUAUUUUCGGGGUGAAAACGCGUGAUUUUGGGGUGAAACGUGGUGUAUUUGCGGUAGAAAGGUGUUAUUUUCCGGCGAGAAGUGGUAUUUUCGGGAAGAAAAUGUGGGAAUUUUCAAGGGAAAAGUGGUAUUUUUCGUGUGGCAAUGCGUGCUUUUCGAGAGAAAGGUGGUAUUUUCGGGGAGAAAAUGAGUGAUUUUCCUUUGAAAGGUGGUAUUUUCGGGAAGAAAAUGCGUGAUUUUG